rnacentral:rRNA from 1 species
AUUGAACGCUGGCGGCAUGCUUUACACAUGCAAGUCGAACGGUAACAGGCCGCAAGGUGCUGACGAGUGGCGAACGGGUGAGUAAUGCAUCGGAACGUGCCCAGUCGUGGGGGAUAACGCAGCGAAAGCUGCGCUAAUACCGCAUACGAUCUAUGGAUGAAAGCGGGGGACCGUAAGGCCUCGCGCGAUUGGAGCGGCCGAUGUCAGAUUAGGUAGUUGGUGGGGUAAAGGCUCACCAAGCCAACGAUCUGUAGCUGGUCUGAGAGGACGACCAGCCACACUAGGACUGAGACACGGCCCAGACUCCUACGGGAGGCAGCAGUGGGGAAUUUUGGACAAUGGGCGCAAGCCUGAUCCAGCAAUGCCGCGUGCAGGAAGAAGGCCUUCGGGUUGUAAACUGCUUUUGUACGGAACGAAAAGGCUCUGGUUAAUACCUGGGGCUCAUGACGGUACCGUAAGAAUAAGCACCGGCUAACUACGUGCCAGCCGCCGCAGUAAUAC